rnacentral:rRNA from 1 species
AGUGAACGCUGGCGGUAGGCCUAACACAUGCAAGUCGAACGGCAGCACAGUAAGAGCUUGCUCUUACGGGUGGCGAGUGGCGGACGGGUGAGGAAUACAUCGGAAUCUACUUUUUCGUGGGGGAUAACGUAGGGAAACUUACGCUAAUACCGCAUACGACCUACGGGUGAAAGCAGGGGGUCUUCGGACCUUGCGCGAUUGAAUGAGCCGAUGUCGGAUUAGCUAGUUGGCGGGGUAAAGGCCCACCAAGGCGACGAUCCGUAGCUGGUCUGAGAGGAUGAGCAGCCACACUGGAACUGAGACACGGUCCAGACUCCUACGGGAGGCAGCAGUGGGGAAUAUUGGACAAUGGGCGCAAGCCUGAUCCAGCCAUACCGCGUGGGUGAAGAAGGCCUUCGGGUUGUAAAGCCCUUUUGUUGGGAAAGAAAAGCAGCAGGUUAAUACCCCGCUGUUCUGACGGUACCCAAAGAAUAAGCACCGGCUAACUUCGUG